CCUGCGGAGGGAUCAUUACAAGUGACCCCGGUCUAACCACCGGGAUGUUCAUAACCCUUUGUUGUCCGACUCUGUUGCCUCCGGGGCGACCCUGCCUUCGGGCGGGGGCUCCGGGUGGACACUUCAAACUCUUGCGUAACUUUGCAGUCUGAGUAAACUUAAUUAAUAAAUUAAAACUUUUAACAACGGAUCUCUUGGUUCUGGCAUCGAUGAAGAACGCAGCGAAAUGCGAUAAGUAAUGUGAAUUGCAGAAUUCAGUGAAUCAUCGAAUCUUUGAACGCACAUUGCGCCCCCUGGUAUUCCGGGGGGCAUGCCUGUUCGAGCGUCAUUUCACCACUCAAGCCUCGCUUGGUAUUGGGCAACGCGGUCCGCCGCGUGCCUCAAAUCGACCGGCUGGGUCUUCUGUCCCCUAAGCGUUGUGGAAACUAUUCGCUAAAGGGUGUUCGGGAGGCUACGCCGUAAAACAACCCCAUUUCUAAGGUUGACCUCGGAUCAGGUAGGGAUACCCGCUGAACUUAAGCAUAUC
rnacentral:rRNA from 1 species